GAUGAACGCUAGCGGGAGGCUUAACACAUGCAAGGUCGAGGGGUAAAUGGUAGCAAUACUAUGAGACCGGCGGACGGGUGCGUAACGCGAUGCAACAUACCUUGUGCAGGGGGAUAGCCCGUGGAAACGCGGAUUAAUAUUCCAUAGUCCAGCUAUAUCGCAUGGUAUAGUUGGUAAAGAUUUAUCGGCACAAGUUUGGCAUGCGUCUGAUUAGCUUGUUGGUAGGGUAACGGCCUACCAAGGCUACGAUCAGUAGGGGUUCUGAGAGGAUUAACCCCCACACUGGUACUGAGACACGGACCAGACUCCUACGGGAGGCAGCAGUGAGGAAUAUUGGUCAAUGGGCGGAAGCCUGAACCAGCCAUCCCGCGUGAAGGAAGACAGCCUUACGGGUUGUAAACUUCUUUUCUGUCAGAAGAAUAAGCUUGUCGAGACGAGUGAUGCCGGUAUGACAGGAAUAAGCAUCAGCUAACUCCGUG
rnacentral:rRNA from 1 species